GGGGUUGUGGCUCAGUGGUAGAGUGCUUGCCUAGCAUGCAUGAGGCACUGGGUUCAAUUCUCAGCACCA
rfam:Ictidomys tridecemlineatus contig028301, whole genome shotgun sequence.